rnacentral:rRNA from 1 species
AGUGAACGCUGGCGGUAGGCCUAAAACAUGCAAGUCGAACGGCAGCACAGUAAGAGCUUGCUCUUACGGGUGGCGAGUGGCGGACGGGUGAGGAAUACAUCGGAAUCUACUUUUUCGUGGGGGAUAACGUAGGGAAACUUACGCUAAUACCGCAUACGACCUACGGGUGAAAGCAGGGGAUCUUCGGACCUUGCGCGAUUGAAUGAGCCGAUGUCGGAUUAGCUAGUUGGCGGGGUAAAGGCCCACCAAGGCGACGAUCCGUAGCUGGUCUGAGAGGAUGAUCAGCCACACUGGAACUGAGACACGGUCCAGACUCCUACGGGAGGCAGCAGUGGGGAAUAUUGGACAAUGGGCGCAAGCCUGAUCCAGCCAUACCGCGUGGGUGAAGAAGGCCUUCGGGUUGUAAAGCCCUUUUGUUGGGAAAGAAAAGCAGCAGGUUAAUACCCCGCUGUUCUGACGUUACCCAAAGAAUAAGCACCGGCUAACUUCGUG